rnacentral:lncRNA from 1 species
UGCCCAAGACAUAGAAGCUGCAAUCUUGCUUCUAUGUCUUUGCUUAUACUGUUCCCUCCUGAAUGCUGUCUCUUCUUCCAUCCACUUCGGUUUUAUCUACUACAAAGGAUAUCACUUGGGAAGGAAUUUCUUGAAACUGCUCCCAAGAGAGCCAUUGGACCAUGUGGUAAACAACUCCUAGCUGAUGGAUUAUUGGGAAUAUUAACAUCAUCCAGAAUGCUAUGGGGAGAAGACAACUGGAAGCUCCGUGUGGACAAACCUCCUGGACUCUGCCCCACAUAUCUCUUCCCUUGGCUGAUUUGAAUUUGUAUCCUUUCACUGUGAUAAACCACAACCAGAUUAUUACAGCUGUCAGCAAGUUCUUCUAUUGAAUUGUUGAAACUGAGGGUGGUCUUGGGAACCCCUGAACUCUACUGUUGGUGUCAGGAGUGAGGGAAGUCUUGUGGACUGUACUCCCUGACCUCACAGGUAGAAGCUGACAGCUGACACGCCCUUCCUUUGUGCAUUUUAUCCUGGGACAAAAUGAGAAGACAUCCUUCAGUUCCCGUCUUGGAUGGCAUAACUUCAAAACCAAGGGAGAUGGAGGAGUUUUAGAGGAGUAGAAGGCUGCAAGCAAGAACUGAUGCAUUACAUCUCCAGUCACCUCACUCUAAGAUUGUCCUGUAGCUAAGACUGUUGAAUGAGACUGUUGUUCUUCAGUUUGCAGCCACAAAGCACGGAGGCAUCUCCCCAAGAAUCCACUGCAGGGAGGAUGAACAGCCCUUACCUGGAUUUUUGCUUUAUCUAAAAAUAUAUUUGUAGAAGAAGGAGCAUUCUAGUUUCCAAAUACAAAGGGCAAUCUCCUUCUCUGUGUGUGCACGUGCAAACAAACACACUUCUACAAGUAAGCAUUCUUCUUUAUUAUCAUAGUCAUCAUCAUCACUGGGUUGGCAACUAAAAACAAAACUACAAAACUCUCAUGUUAGCAGUUGAGUAACUUUUAAUAACCAGAUACAAACCAUUCUUCAUUGUUUACAAGGGGCAUUAAAAAGAAAAGGAGGUUGAACUGCAAUGUGAAGUGUAGUUAAAUAUGUAGACAUCUUGGAUUCUAGAAGAGUUUGUAAUGGAUUAAAGGGUUAAGCUAUGAAAUUGUUGCCCUCUGUGAUUUUUCCACACUAGAACAGACUGACAUGGUUUGAAGCAGUUGGGCUUUAACCUAUAGAUAGGAGGACAGAGAUGAUUGCCUAUGAAGCAAUUAUUAAAUAGCUGCAUUUUGGCAUGUUCUAGUUGAAAAGAUUUAGUUUUACCUAUAUCACCUCAUCAUCACUAAUUUAAUCAUCCUCAGAAAAUGCAAAAAUAAUGAUGUACAUUUGACAAGUCUUAUACAAAAUUAUGUUUCAUAGCUUUGUGGUCAGAAUUAAGCCAUGUUCUAAAAUACAAAUGAAUAGUUUACAGCCCACUAAUUCCUAACUGUAAGUGUUAAGUCUAUAUAAAAAUAAGAGACAAGCUUGUGAUCAGGAAUAGCUUCCAAUUAUGAAAAAUUUAAAUAAAAAUAAUAGAAUGUGCUUAAUUUAUUUAUCAUAUACAAAGUAGACAUAUGUGACCAAAAUGAUUCAUUAUUUUUACGAUUUUCAUGGGAAUAAGUUUGACAAUAUUAAGUGCUGGAGAUAGAAUAUCA